GGACCUGUGGCAGAACCUGGUAUGCUCCUCCCUUUUAAGGAGACUAAUGAGAGUUCGAAUCUCUUCGGGUCCA
rnacentral:tRNA from 1 species